rnacentral:misc_RNA from 1 species
AGGGAGUCAGAGAAGGCCUUGCAGGUAACCUUUUCUCUUUGAAGUAAAGCUGGGGUUGAGUUCUCUGUAGCUGGGGUUGUUUUUUCUGAAAUAAAGUUAUAUUUACACUUAUUAACUCAUUGCAAAAGCCUUUUAUCUUUAGCUAUUCAAUUAGAUAUGUGUAUGCAAAUCAUUCUUUGUUGAACAAUAGGAAUUUAGUAUUCAGCCACCUAAGGACUAUCAGGCUAACCUUGAGAACCUGCUUCUCACUAUGAUGAUAUACCAGCGAGUCAAUUUGUAGUUGGCUUUUUCAUAGACUUGAGUUGUUAGAGAAAUUUUCUAUGAAUUGUUAGAGAAAUUUUACUUCUCCCUGCACUCACCAUUUUUUCUAUUCAUUGGUAAACUCUCUCCUUUGAGUGUGGG